GUGCUCGCUUCAGCAGCACAUACCCUAAAACUGGAACAAUACAGAGAUUAGCAUGGCCCUUGAGCAAGGGUGAUGUGGAAAUCUGUGAAGUGUCCCUAAUUUUA